UACGUAGGGGCCAAGCGUUGUCCGGAAUCAUUGGGCGUAAAGGGCGUGUAGGCGGUUUGGUAAGUCAGAUGUUAAAUCUACAGGCUCAACCUGUAGCCGCAUCUGAGACUGCCAGGCUAGAGAGUGGUAGAGGAAAGCGGAACUUCCGGUGUAGCGGUGAAAUGCGUAGAUAUCGGAAGGAACACCAGUGGCGAAGGCGGCUUUCUGGGCCACUUCUGACGCUGAGACGCGAAAGCUAGGGGAGC
rnacentral:rRNA from 1 species